rnacentral:rRNA from 1 species
CCAACAGGGAUUGCCUCAGUAACGGCGAGUGAAGCGGCAACAGCUCAAAUUUGAAAUCUGGUCCUUUUAGGUCCCGAAUUGUAAUUUGUAGAAGAUGCUUCGGGUGUGGCUCCGGUCUAAGUCCCUUGGAACAGGGCGUCAUAGAGGGUGAGAAUCCCGUAUGUGACUGGCUGCCUCCGCCCAUGUGAAGCUCUUUCGACGAGUCGAGUUGUUUGGGAAUGCAGCUCAAAAUGGGUGGUAAAUUUCAUCUAAAGCUAAAUAUUGGCCAGAGACCGAUAGCGCACAAGUAGAGUGAUCGAAAGAUGAAAAGCACUUUGGAAAGAGAGUUAAACAGUACGUGAAAUUGUUGAAAGGGAAGCGCUUGCAAUCAGACUUGCGCGCCGUUGAUCAUCCCCGGUUCUCCGGGGUGCACUCGGCGGCGCUCAGGCCAGCAUCGGUUUCGGUGGUUGGAUAAAGACCUUGGGAAUGUGGCUCCUCUCGGGGAGUGUUAUAGCCCAGGGUGCAAUGCAGCCUACCGGGACCGAGGACCGCGCUUCGGCUAGGAUGCUGGCGUAAUGGUUGUAAGCGACCCGUCUUGAAACACGGACCAAGGAGUCUAACACUUAUGCGAGUGUUUGGGUGUUAAACCCAUACGCGUAAUGAAAGUGAACGGAGGUGAGAACCCUUAAGGGUGCAUCAUCGACCGGUCCUGAAGUUUACGGACGGAUCUGAGUAAGAGCAUAAUUGUUGGGACCCGAAAGAUGGUGAACUAUGCCUGAAUAGGGUGAAGCCAGAGGAAACUCUGGUGGAGGCUCGCAGCGGUUCUGACGUGCAAAUCGAUCGUC